rnacentral:lncRNA from 1 species
AUGGAGAUGUUACUGCACUGGUGUCUGCUGUCGAUCGGUUUCUCUCUCAGCACAUCGACCACAGCAACAGAAGCCAUUCUCUGGGUGAAAACAGGGGAGAAGUUUACCAUGAAGUGCUCCACCACUCUAAAAGACCAGGAAGGAAUGUACCUGUAUGUUGGGCUGGACAGGGACAGGGAGGUGUUGUAUUACCACCAGAGUGACUCCAAGCUGACCCUCAGGAAAGGCUACUGGGACAGAGUGAAGACUGAGGGACCUGUGGACCAACUGACCAUCACCGUCAGUAACCUGACCAUAGAGGACACAGGAGUCUACUGGUGUGUUUAUACAAAUGUCAACAAAUCCACGUUCAAUCAUUUUAUCAUCCAAGGCAAAGGCUCCACUCUGGUGGUGGUGAAUGACGAUGUCCUACAGCUGCCAUGUCCUAAAGCUACUGCAGUAACGCUGACCCCCUUUCACCCAGCCAAUGAGAAGCCGUGCCCAUCUGGCGUGGUAAACAUCAUCAUCAUUAGCAUCUUGACCAUCCUGCUGUGUGUCAUCUUCCUCAUCUGGGUUGCUCCACUGGUGAAGAGGUGCUGUAAACAGGGAGGAUCCACACCCCAGGUCAUUCCUGAGAGUGUCUAUGAAGACAUGGCCCGGAAUCACACUUCUCCACCUGACACACAGGUAGAAUCGAACCCCUAUUCUGUGUCUUCCAAAAGAGGAAGUAGGACCACUGAGUAG